CUUCUUCAGUUUAUAGUUAGGUAUACAAUGAUUUUUAAAAACUGGAUGAAGUCAUAGUGUAAAGUGCUACUUUACUUUUCUUGUUUAGAAUUUUUAAUGAUCAAGGUCAUCAACAUCUGCUUCAGUAGAUGGCUGUGCUGGUUCUCCAAGUGUUUCUGAGAAUAUGAUACAAAAAUGACGCUGCAGAUAACAGCUGUUCUUCCAUCUCCACCUAGUGGUUAGUUAUUACCUCUAUCUUUACCUACCUGCUUUUUACAACGAUCACAUUUGUACUUUUAAAUUUAUUGAAAGUAAGGGUAAAGAGAUCCUGAGAGAUUCCAAGUGCACAAACUUCAUAUUUUGGUUGUUCAAAGACUUUUACCAACAAUCUCAUGUAUUUCUGAAUAUCAACAGUCAGAUAACACUUCCCCAAUUUGUAACAUAAGAUUUCUAUAAUUAAAAUCAAUGACUUAUUCUUGGAUUUAAUCUUGAUUAAUGAGAUUUCUCACAAAUAAGUCUGCAGAGACUAUAAAAAUGACUUUAAAGUAUCACAAAAAUAGAACUAUACAACUGUAAGUUAUACUAUUCUCUGUCUCAAUUGCCUGGCUGCUCAUCAGCAAUUAUAGCGAUUUUCAACUAUGCCCAUGUUUCCUCUUAGAUAGUACUUCUUAAUCUUUUUUCAAAUUGUAGGACCCUCCUCCCCCAAGGAGAAAACG
rnacentral:lncRNA from 1 species